rnacentral:rRNA from 1 species
UGGGGGAUAUUGCACAAUGGGCGCAAGCCUGAUGCAGCGACGCCGCGUGGGGGAUGAAGGCCUUCGGGUUGUAAACUUCUUUUGCUCUGAACAAGGCGCACUUUGGGGUGUGUUGAGUGUAGGGGUUGAUUAGCGCCGGCUAACUACGUGCCAGCAGCCGCGGUAAUACGUAGGGCGCGAGCGUUGUCCGGAAUUAUUGGGCGUAAAGGGCUUGUAGGUGGCUGGUUGCGUCUGUCGUGAAAGCUCAUGGCUUAACUGUGGGUUUGCGGUGGGUACGGGCUGGCUUGAGUGCAGUAGGGGAGGCUGGAAUCCCUGGUGUAGCGGUGGAAUGCGCAGAUAUCAGGAGGAAUACCGGUGGCGAAGGCGGGUCUCUGGGCUGUUACUGACACUGAGGAGCGAAAGCAUGGGGAGCGAACAGG